AUCCAAGAACCGCAUGGUUCUUGGCUGAAAGAUGGCGUAAGCUAUCGCUUUUGGAUGGACCCGCGGCGUAUUAGCUAGUUGGUGAGGUAAUGGCUCACCAAGGCGAUGAUACGUAGCCGAACUGAGAGGUUGAUCGGCCACAUUGGGACUGAGACACGGCCCAAACUCCUACGGGAGGCAGCAGUAGGGAAUCUUCCACAAUGGACGCAAGUCUGAUGGAGCAACGCCGCGUGAGUGAAGAAGGCUUUCGGGUCGUAAAACUCUGUUGUUGGAGAAGAAUGGUCGGCAGAGUAACUGUUGUCGGCGUGACGGUAUCCAACCAGAAAGCCACGGCUAACUACGUGCCAGCAGCCGCGGUAAUACGUAGGUGGCAAGCGUUAUCCGGAUUUAUUGGGCGUAAAGCGAGCGCAGGCGGUUUUUUAAGUCUGAUGUGAAAGCCCUCGGCUUAACCGAGGAAGCGCAUCGGAAACUGGGAAACUUGAGUGCAGAAGAGGACAGUGGAACUCCAUGUGUAGCGGUGAAAUGCGUAGAUAUAUGGAAGAACACCAGUGGCGAAGGCGGCUGUCUGGUCUGUAACUGACGCUGAGGCUCGAAAGCAUGGGUAGCGAACAGGAUUAGAUACCCUGGUAGUCCAUGCCGUAAACGAUGAAUGCUAGGUGUUGGAGGGUUUCCGCCCUUCAGUGCCGCAGCUAACGCAUUAAGCAUUCCGCCUGGGGAGUACGACCGCAAGGUUGAAACUCAAAGGAAUUGACGGGGGCCCGCACAAGCGGUGGAGCAUGUGGUUUAAUUCGAAGCAACGCGAAGAACCUUACCAGGUCUUGACAUCUUUUGAUCACCUGAGAGAUCAGGUUUCCCCUUCGGGGGCAAAAUGACAGGUGGUGCAUGGUUGUCGUCAGCUCGUGUCGUGAGAUGUUGGGUUAAGUCCCGCAACGAGCGCAACCCUUAUGACUAGUUGCCAGCAUUUAGUUGGGCACUCUAGUAAGACUGCCGGUGACAAACCGGAGGAAGGUGGGGAUGACGUCAAAUCAUCAUGCCCCUUAUGACCUGGGCUACACACGUGCUACAAUGGAUGGUACAACGAGUUGCGAGACCGCGAGGUCAAGCUAAUCUCUUAAAGCCAUUCUCAGUUCGGACUGUAGGCUGCAACUCGCCUACACGAAGUCGGAAUCGCUAGUAAUCGCGGAUCAGCACGCCGCGGUGAAUACGUUCCCGGGCCUUGUACACACCGCCCGUCACACCAUGAGAGUUUGUAACACCCGAAGCCGGUGGCGUAACCCUUUUAGGGAGCGAGCCGUCUAAGGUGGGACAAAUGAUUAGGGUGAAGUCGUAACAAGGUAGCCGUAGGAGAACCUGCGGCUGGAUCACCUCCUUU
rnacentral:rRNA from 1 species